rnacentral:rRNA from 1 species
UAAGGAAUAUUGGUCAAUGGACGCAAGUCUGAACCAGCCAUGCCGCGUGAAGGAUGAAGGUCCUCUGGAUUGUAAACUUCUUUUAUCAGGGACGAAAACGGGAUUUUUAUCUCAAUUGACGGUACCAGAGGAAUAAGCACCGGCUAACUCCGUGCCAGCAGCCGCGGUAAUACGGAGGGUGCGAGCGUUAUCCGGAUUUACUGGGUUUAAAGGGUGCGUAGGUGGGUAUGUAAGUCAGUGGUGAAAUCCCCGAGCUUAACUUGGGAACUGCCAUUGAUACUAUAUAUCUUGAAUACCGUAGAGGUAAGCGGAAUAUGUCAUGUAGCGGUGAAAUGCUUAGAUAUGACAUGGAACACCAAUUGCGAAGGCAGCUUACUAUGCGGUGAUUGACACUGAGGCACGAAAGCGUGGGUAGCAAACG